CCCAUGCCCGAAGAAACUCCCUCCCGCCGCCGGCCUCCCUCGCCGGUGGUAGGAGCCACUUCCUCAUCCUGUUCCUCAGCUCCGGAUCCUCCUCGCGGCGGCUCUCCGUUUACUCCUCGCGGCGGCGGUGGCAUCAGACGCAGUGGCCAUCCCUAUCGCGCUCCCCGAUUCCUGCGGGAUCCAGCAGGAUGAAUCCGUGAUGCGACCAUCCCCCUCGCUGCCCCAGCUCGCCGGUCUACCACUGCCCCUUCCCCUCGCCUCCUCGCUGCCGCCAUGGCCUGAAGCAGGCAUCCCUGAGCAGUGCCUGUGCACAUGCCGUGGCUCCCCUCUGGUCCCUCCAUCGCGCGGCCGACCGCAUAAAGGGUGACAGCCAAUGCUCAGAGAAGUGCUUAAUCAAACAACGGGGCCAUUGAACAUUCAGUCGUUGUUUGUCUUCCUCCAACCGCGACCUUCUACUGUCGCAAUGGUGGCCUUUCUCCGCAAGCUGACCUUUGCAACUAGGGAGGAAGCUGUCAUGGUCAUUCGGUGCUUCAUUUUAUUGGUCAUGGGCGUGCGGACAAGGACAUACAAUUUCAAACUACAUCGAUGACUUCUUCAAGUUGAAGGUCAUGUGCUCUGUUCUUCAGUAUUUGUUUGUUUUUUCUAAGAAAAUAUCACAGCAACUGUACGCCACUUCUUCCGCCCUUAUGCAACCCAGCCGCUCCAACCGUCCCAUACUGUCUUAUCUUCCCCGUUGUUGUGUACAACCACCCAACGACCUGAUUUUCUCCAAACAAAAGAAAACAUAUGCUGCAUGUACCUCAAAUAUUUGGCAUUUGACGCUCCAUCUCCUAAUCUCUUCCACUUCCUCUCCCCCACGUUCUCCAUAUAAGAAACUGAUGGAUCGCCUUUUGAAGUCUGUGCUUUGCCUCACCUUAUUGCCUUCCCAUCGUCCUCCAGCACGGGUGGGUUCAGCCGCACCACUCAUACUGCACCGAUGGUGAUACUCUCUCCUUCUGAUGUUUCUUUAUGCAGAAUUUUUAAUCUAUGCCAGCAAGGUCAAUGUAAAUGGUAGGAGAUUGCAGUUUGAAAAUAAAUCUAGAUAAUCUUUGUACUCCACUGUUUACUCAAUAUCUUUUUUGAAACUUUGCUAAUGUCAAUGAUAACAAGUUCAUUAGAUGUUUUUUAAGCAGACUUUUGAAUCUAUAUCGACAUGGUCCGAUGAAAAUGGAAGCAUAUUGUAGUUUGAAAAUAAAUCUCGAUAGUCUUUAUGCUCCAUUGUUUGCUCAAUAUGUUUUUUUAACCUUGCCGCAUUCAGUGAUAACAAGUUCAUUAUUUCAUAAUUUGCAAUUUUGGAACAAAAUGAGUCAAUAAUUUUAUGUUUCCUGGUUAUCUUAUGGACUAUCAGUUACUCCCUUCAGUCCUCUAUCUUUUACGUCGAUGCUUCUCUUAAAUCCAUAAUCCCAGACCCAUUUUACUUUGUCGAGUCCUAUGGUAAUUUUGAUUAUUGAUGGAAUUUCGGGUUGAUCUUCAACCAAUAUCCAUCGGAGGUUUAGAUUGAACGAACAAUAAUACCACAAUUCAUGAUCUCUACAAUAGUUGAUUUUGUUGAGAGAAGCUUUGAUCUUUACUUACUACUUUUCUAACCUUCGUUUGUGCUGAUUCUUUUCUAUUGUCUCUGCAAGUUGUUUGAUGAAAACCAAAGCAAGCCAGUGAUCUUGCUUCAGUCCUAUUCCUGCUAAUCUAUGGUGAAGCUCAAACUGAUUCAAACAAAGGUUGAAGCCUGCAUGCAGACUUGCCAAACAUGGCGUCCUUUUUUGUAUGUACAGUCUGCCAAGACAGUACUUUUGUUGUUCAAGUUGUUUGAUGUAGAUAUACUUAUAGCCUAAGAUCUGGAGUGAAAUCCCACCAUGCAACAAAUUGUGCGUAACUUUGUUAUCACAAUCAGUUUAUUUAAAUUCAGAUCGUUGCAAGAGAAGUAAUUUUUUUCUCUUGGGUAUGUAUCUAUCUUUGUAAAAUAUAUCAAGUUUAGUUAAUUUGAUUUCAUUGUUUA